CUUCUUUAGAAGAAAUAUUGUGAAGCAGAGUUCACCAAGCGUUGGAUUGUUCACCCAAUAAUAGGGAACAUGAGUUGGGUUUAGACCCUCGUGAAACAGGUU
rnacentral:ncRNA from 1 species